CAGGCUCUCUAUCUUGGCUUUUCUCCUGUGUGAGAACUGACUGGUUAUAACAAAAAAUAGAGAAGUGCUAUAGCAGGUGUCUUUAGAGAAAGCUUGACAGACAGCCAAACCUGCCAGAUGAGCUCUGUUCUCAAUGGGAAGAAUGAUCUUAAAGGCAAAUACAGGGCUUUAAAGGACACAGAGGCAAGAGCUGGAACUGAUAUUUAUCUGUAGUCUUGGAUAUAAGGCAGUGACUAUCAGUUUCAGUUACAAAUCAAUAUUGUCUUAGAGAGUUACAUAUGCAAGUAUGCUAAGAGUAUCAAAUUAAUAUUUAGAGGUGCCCUAUGUUAUGUAAAAUCUGUAGAUUGGUACAUAUAUUUAUGACAAUAAGACCAAUAUUCUAACAGAGCUCCACAAUCUGAUUGUGAUACUUCAUGUUUCAGUUACAUUUCAUUAAGCUGUAAUUGUUAAAAUAUUUUUACUUCUAGGAAUGCUCUCAGUUCAACCUAAGGAAGAUGCUACACACUCAUUUCCUUCCUCUUCUCUUUCCUCUUUCUUCUCCCCUCCACUUCCUCCUUAUUUUCCCCUUCCCCUUAUUUACCUCCAUGGUUGUCUUUUCAACAUACUUUCCUUUGCUAUACUAUUUUUUGUCUUUCCCCAUGUCUUUGAUGUUUUUCCCCUUUUUCCCUUUUCUAUGGCCAGUAAUGAAACGGUUAACCUCAAUAUAGGAAAUGUGAUUGCUAACCUUCAUUGCUAAAAUGCUGUCAAAAAUUCUCUGCAGAUCAAGAACAGCUGCCUGUUUUACUCUAGUCUCUCUCUGUGUUUGAUGGUUAACUGUACAGCUGCAUGCACUACAGAUUAAAGAAAAUCCGAAUUUUACAGAA